CAUAGGUUAAUGAGGCGAACCGGGGGAACUGAAACAUCUAAGUACCCCGAGGAAAAGAAAUCAACCGAGAUUCCCCCAGUAGCGGCGAGCGAACGGGGAGCAGCCCAGAGCCUGAAUCAGUGUGUGUGUUAGUGGAAGCGUCUGGAAAGGCGCGCGAUACAGGGUGACAGCCCCGUACACAAAAAUGCACAUGCUGUGAGCUCGAUGAGUAGGGCGGGACACGUGGUAUCCUGUCUGAAUAUGGGGGGACCAUCCUCCAAGGCUAAAUACUCCUGACUGACCGAUAGUGAACCAGUACCGUGAGGGAAAGGCGAAAAGAACCCCGGCGAGGGGAGUGAAAAAGAACCUGAAACCGUGUACGUACAAGCAGUGGGAGCCUCUUUAUGGGGUGACUGCGUACCUUUUGUAUAAUGGGUCAGCGACUUAUAUUCUGUAGCAAGGUUAACCGAAUAGGGGAGCCGAAGGGAAACCGAGUCUUAACUGGGCGUUAAGUUGCAGGGUAUAGACCCGAAACCCGGUGAUCUAGCCAUGGGCAGGUUGAAGGUUGGGUAACACUAACUGGAGGACCGAACCGACUAAUGUUGAAAAAUUAGCGGAUGACUUGUGGCUGGGGGUGAAAGGCCAAUCAAACCGGGAGAUAGCUGGUUCUCCCCGAAAGCUAUUUAGGUAGCGCCUCGUGAAUUCAUCUCCGGGGGUAGAGCACUGUUUCGGCAAGGGGGUCAUCCCGACUUACCAACCCGAUGCAAACUGCGAAUACCGGAGAAUGUUAUCACGGGAGACACACGGCGGGUGCUAACGUCCGUCGUGAAGAGGGAAACAACCCAGACCGCCAGCUAAGGUCCCAAAGUCAUGGUUAAGUGGGAAACGAUGUGGGAAGGCCCAGACAGCCAGGAUGUUGGCUUAGAAGCAGCCAUCAUUUAAAGAAAGCGUAAUAGCUCACUGGUCGAGUCGGCCUGCGCGGAAGAUGUAACGGGGCUAAACCAUGCACCGAAGCUGCGGCAGCGACGCUUAUGCGUUGUUGGGUAGGGGAGCGUUCUGUAAGCCUGUGAAGGUGUGCUGUGAGGCAUGCUGGAGGUAUCAGAAGUGCGAAUGCUGACAUAAGUAACGAUAAAGCGGGUGAAAAGCCCGCUCGCCGGAAGACCAAGGGUUCCUGUCCAACGUUAAUCGGGGCAGGGUGAGUCGACCCCUAAGGCGAGGCCGAAAGGCGUAGUCGAUGGGAAACAGGUUAAUAUUCCUGUACUUGGUGUUACUGCGAAGGGGGGACGGAGAAGGCUAUGUUGGCCGGGCGACGGUUGUCCCGGUUUAAGCGUGUAGGCUGGUUUUCCAGGCAAAUCCGGAAAAUCAAGGCUGAGGCGUGAUGACGAGGCACUACGGUGCUGAAGCAACAAAUGCCCUGCUUCCAGGAAAAGCCUCUAAGCAUCAGGUAACAUCAAAUCGUACCCCAAACCGACACAGGUGGUCAGGUAGAGAAUACCAAGGCGCUUGAGAGAACUCGGGUGAAGGAACUAGGCAAAAUGGUGCCGUAACUUCGGGAGAAGGCACGCUGAUAUGUAGGUGAGGUCCCUCGCGGAUGGAGCUGAAAUCAGUCGAAGAUACCAGCUGGCUGCAACUGUUUAUUAAAAACACAGCACUGUGCAAACACGAAAGUGGACGUAUACGGUGUGACGCCUGCCCGGUGCCGGAAGGUUAAUUGAUGGGGUUAGCGGUAACGCGAAGCUCUUGAUCGAAGCCCCGGUAAACGGCGGCCGUAACUAUAACGGUCCUAAGGUAGCGAAAUUCCUUGUCGGGUAAGUUCCGACCUGCACGAAUGGCGUAAUGAUGGCCAGGCUGUCUCCACCCGAGACUCAGUGAAAUUGAACUCGCUGUGAAGAUGCAGUGUACCCGCGGCAAGACGGAAAGACCCCGUGAACCUUUACUAUAGCUUGACACUGAACAUUGAGCCUUGAUGUGUAGGAUAGGUGGGAGGCUUUGAAGUGUGGACGCCAGUCUGCAUGGAGCCGACCUUGAAAUACCACCCUUUAAUGUUUGAUGUUCUAACGUUGACCCGUAAUCCGGGUUGCGGACAGUGUCUGGUGGGUAGUUUGACUGGGGCGGUCUCCUCCUAAAGAGUAACGGAGGAGCACGAAGGUUGGCUAAUCCUGGUCGGACAUCAGGAGGUUAGUGCAAUGGCAUAAGCCAGCUUGACUGCGAGCGUGACGGCGCGAGCAGGUGCGAAAGCAGGUCAUAGUGAUCCGGUGGUUCUGAAUGGAAGGGCCAUCGCUCAACGGAUAAAAGGUACUCCGGGGAUAACAGGCUGAUACCGCCCAAGAGUUCAUAUCGACGGCGGUGUUUGGCACCUCGAUGUCGGCUCAUCACAUCCUGGGGCUGAAGUAGGUCCCAAGGGUAUGGCUGUUCGCCAUUUAAAGUGGUACGCGAGCUGGGUUUAGAACGUCGUGAGACAGUUCGGUCCCUAUCUGCCGUGGGCGCUGGAGAACUGAGGGGGGCUGCUCCUAGUACGAGAGGACCGGAGUGGACGCAUCACUGGUGUUCGGGUUGUCAUGCCAAUGGCACUGCCCGGUAGCUAAAUGCGGAAGAGAUAAGUGCUGAAAGCAUCUAAGCACGAAACUUGCCCCGAGAUGAGUUCUCCCUGACUCCUUGAGAGUCCUGAAGGAACGUUGAAGACGACGACGUUGAUAGGCCGGGUGUGUAAGCGCAGCGAUGCGUUGAGCUAACC
rnacentral:rRNA from 1 species